rnacentral:rRNA from 1 species
AACCUGCCCAAGAGAUCGGGAUAACACCUGGAAACAGAUGCUAAUACCGGAUAACAACAGAUGAUGCCUAUCAACUGUUUAAAAGAUGGUUCUGCUAUCACUCUUGGAUGGACCUGCGGUGCAUUAGCUAGUUGGUAGGGUAACGGCCUACCAAGGCGAUGAUGCAUAGCCGAGUUGAGAGACUGAUCGGCCACAUUGGGACUGAGACACGGCCCAAACUCCUACGGGAGGCAGCGGCC